GAUGAAGAACGCAGCAAAAUGCGAUAAGUAAUGUGAAUUGCAGAAUUCAGUGAAUCAUCGAAUCUUUGAACGCACAUUGCGACCGCCAGUAUUCUGGCGGGCAUGCCUGUUCGAGCGUCAUUUCAACCCUCAAGCACAGCUUGGUGUUGGGACUCGCGUUAAUUCGCGUUCCCCAAAUUGAUUGGCGGUCACGUCGAGCUUCCAUAGCGUAGUAGUAAAACCCUCGUUACUGGUAAUCGUCGCGGCCACGCCGUUAAACCCCAACUUCUGAAUGUUGACCUCGGAUCAGGUAGGAAUACCCGCUGAACUUAAGCAUAUCAAUAAGCGGAGGA
rnacentral:misc_RNA from 1 species